rfam:TPA: Bos taurus chromosome 8, whole genome shotgun sequence.
UCCCUGGUGGCUCAGACGGUAAAAGCGUCUGCCUACAAUGCAGAAGACCUGGGUUUGAUCCCUGGGUUGGGAA